GGCAGUCGUGGUCGUUCUCCAUUUCUCUGGGAAUAACUUGGGGGAUUUGAAGCAUUUCUGUCCGAUUGUAUGCUCACAACAGAACGUGGAGCCUUUGGUCCAGAUGACAAAAGUUGGAUAGGAGGACCACUUGGUAAAGGAGACUGUGCACCGGCUUGGGAUGACAGAGGCCCCUUAUCACGAGAAUUAAGUGGUGUGCCGACACUAGAGCUACUAUUAAGUACUCCACUCUUCAUAACAGCAGCCAAC
rnacentral:misc_RNA from 1 species